GUUCAUAAAAUAUGUAUAUCUAUAAGGAUAUGCAUAGAAAACUAUUUAGAAGGUUAUGUACUAAAUGUUAAUAGUAGUUAUCUAUGGAUAGUAGAAUUUUAAAAGAGUUUUGUUGUUGUUGUCUUAUGUAUCCUCCUUAAUUUUUUAAAAAUGGGCCUCUUGACAGUACUUAUGUAAGGUUUAAUUUUGAAUAAUCUUAGUUUUUUAUUUGAAUAUUAUUUUAUAAAAAUUUUAUAUAUACUUAUUUGGAUCAAUAUAAAUUAGUUAACAUAAUUUAAUAUUAUAUCUGAAACAUGAAACAGACAAGUUAAGCGAGCUUUUAAAACCCUCUUGAAGGAAAAUCUCAAAACGUUUAUAUAGGGACUGGGGAUAUAGCUCUGUUGGUAAAAUGCUUGCCUUGCACAAGGCCCUGCUUCAAUCCCUAGCACCACAAAAAAAAAAAAAAAAAAAUUAUAUACUUCAUAUUGUUAACUUAUAAAUAAGCUAGUGUGUCUUAAUUGUCUUUUGGAAAUAUAGUUUACUUCUCAGUGUAGAGAGUAACGUAAAAUUUUAUACCGUAUUUAUUUAAUUAUAAAAUAUUAAAUGACACCAUUAAUUUCUAAUUAACUUGUUAUUAUUUUAUAGUUUAAGAGCUAUUGUUGUAGAAACUUUUGUUUGAAUAACAUCAGCUUAGUAAAAUGUUCUUUUAAAUCUUGUACUUUAAUGACAUGUAUAUUUGGGAAAUGAAG
rnacentral:lncRNA from 1 species